rnacentral:misc_RNA from 1 species
CAGCACUUUCCAGCAGAUGUGGAUCGCAAAAGCAGAAUAUGAUGAGUCUGGGCCAUCAAUCGUGCAUCGGAAAUGUUUCUAAAUGUUUUGAGAAUAGGAUUGUUGAAGAAAGAGGGGAAAAGAAAGUACUGUUUUGUUCUUUGGCAAGCAAGUGGGUGGCUUGCCUUCUUUUUCAUUCUAGCUUUAUUGUGCAUCUAUGUUUAUUGUGACAUUUUGGAGUGAUAAUUUUGAGAAGGCGAUGAGUUGAUUGCCCAAAUGGUCUCGUCCACAAUUCUUUCAUUAUUACUAUUCUGAGUUUUAAGUUUUCUUCUUUACUGUUAAGAUUCAUCUUGGCUGCACCCUGAUCUCUUAAU